UACGGAGGAUGCAAGCGUUAUCCGGAAUGUUUGGGCGUAAAGCGUCCGCAGGUGGCAAUGUAAGUCUGCUGUCAAAGCGUCUGGCUCAACCAGAUAAAGGCAGUGGAAACUACAUAGCUAGAGUAAGGUAGGGGUAGAGGGAAUUCCUGGUGUAGCGGUGAAAUGCGUAGAGAUCAGGAAGAACACCGGUGGCGAAAGCGCUCUGCUGGACCUUAACUGACACUGAGGGACGAAAGCUAGGGGAGCGAAUGGG
rnacentral:rRNA from 1 species